GGCAGAUGAUGUCUGUUCUCACGAUGGUCUUCGGAAGCCUGCAUGGGCACUGCCGAGAAAGCCAGUUGGCAACACUGAUGCCAGAAA
rnacentral:snoRNA from 1 species